rnacentral:misc_RNA from 1 species
CACAACCCUCCUGGCCAUAGC